AGUGAAGGAGGGAGGAUCUGUCACUCUAAACAUUGAUCGAUCUAAAAUACAGCCAAAUGAUCUGAUCCUCUGGAAAUUUAAAGACAAGAUUCUAGCUAAAAACAAAGACCUCUGCUCUGAACGUGAUGGACUGAAGCUGGAUAAAAAGACUGGAUCUCUGACCAUCAAGAACAUCACGAUCACAGACUGUGGAUAUUAUAUACUACAGAUCAUCAACAGAGAAGAAACUAUAAAUAAGAGAUUCAACGUUACACUGAUGGAUUUAUCUGCAGCUGUUUCACCAAACGUUACGGAUUUUGAGGAACAUCAUGAUGCAUCACCAUCAAUGACUCUCCUGAGCUCAAUUAAAAUUAAUUAAAAAAAAUUCAUAACUAAUUGAAUAAUGUUACUCUUCAUUCUUACUCUGUUAACAUAAUCCUAGUUUGACUCUGACAGCUCUGGUUUUGUUUGGUUGUCAUUUAGGCAUUUUAUAUGAUGUUUUAGCACAGCAGUAUUUCUCUUUCCAUAGUGUGUGCUGCUGUUUUAUAUUAACACCACUAUCAGUUUAAUGUUCAUAUUCAGCAUUGAUUAUAAUGUGUUUUAAAGCCAACAUCACAUGAACACCUCCUCAUGUGUAGAAAUACAUCAGACUGUAUGUAAAUAAUAGAAACAUCUUUGACCGUCCAGAACCAGUCAGUGUUGCUCAACUAGACAGAAUUAGACGUUUAUUGUAGAAAUUAAUCAGCUUUCAUUCUUUCAGUGUUUUACUUUGCAUUUAAUUUGAAUUGUUAACUUUGUUCCAUUAUUUUUUUAUCCUCCAAUCUGAUAUGAUUAUUUUUGUCUUCUAAUCUGAUCUGAAUAAUUAACUUUGACCUGAAUUUAUAGUAUUCAUACUGAAAUUAGCCUUGUUGCACUUGUAGUAAAAAAAAUAUAUAUAAAUGCUUUUGCUCAACUCUAGUUCUUAGUGAUAUGAUAGCACAUUGUGCCGUGUCUUUGCUAGUUUUAUUGCCAUAUGUAAGUCAUUUUGACAAUAGCGUCUGCUUCAUGAUAUUAUGCUACUAAUCUUAAUGUUUAAUCAUUCAGUGGACAAACAUUGUUACAGCUUUUGCUUCCUGAAAACUGUUUGAACACAAAACACAUGAAAAUGUAAAUACAUAUUUCAAUGUGGAUGUUACAGUUUUAAAAAUAAUAAAAAGAUCAAAUGUGUGAAACGCGA